rnacentral:rRNA from 1 species
AGUGAACGCUGGCGGUAGGCCUAACACAUGCAAGUCGAACGGCAGCACAGUAAGAGCUUGCUCUUACGGGUGGCGAGUGGCGGACGGGUGAGGAAUACAUCGGAAUCUACUUUUUCGUGGGGGAUAACGUAGGGAAACUUACGCUAAUACCGCAUACGACCUACGGGUGAAAGCAGGGGAUCUUCGGACCUUGCGCGAUUGAAUGAGCCGAUGUCGGAUUAGCUAGUUGGCGGGGUAAAGGCCCACCAAGGCGACGAUCCGUAGCUGGUCUGAGAGGAUGAUCAGCCACACUGGAACUGAGAAACGGCCCAGACCCCUACGGGAGGAAGCAGGGGGGAAUUUUGGACAAUGGGCGCAAGCCGGAUCCAGCCCUCCCGGGUGGGUGAAGAAGGCCUUCGGGUUGUAAAGCCCUUUUGUUCGGAAAGAAAAGCAGCAGGUUAAUACCCCGCUGUUCUGACGGUACCCAAAGAAUAAGCCCCGGCUAACUUCGU